rnacentral:rRNA from 1 species
GACGAACGCUGGCGGCGUGUCUAAUGCAUGCAAGUCGAGCGAGCUACAGUCUUCGGACUGUAGCUUAGCGGCGAACGGGUGAGUAACACGUAGGUGAUCUACCCUUCAGAGGAGGACAACUUCAGGAAACUGAGGCUAAACCUUCAUACGUUCACUGGUAGGGAUACUGGUGAAGAAAGAGUUACCGUCAAGGUAGCUGCUGAAGGAUGAGCCUGCGGCCCAUCAGGUAGUUGGUGAGGUAACGGCUCACCAAGCCGAAGACGGGUAACCGGUCUGAGAGGAUGUCCGGUCACACUGGGACUGAGACACGGCCCAGACUCCUACGGGAGGCAGCAGCAGGGAAUCUUGGGCAAUGGGCGAAAGCCUGACCCAGCGACGCCACGUGGAGGAAGAAGUCCUUCGGGGCGUAAACUCCUGGACUGGGGGACGAGGAAGGACGGUACCCCAGUAGAAAGGGACGGCUAACUACGUGCCGGCAGCCGCGGUAAAACGUAGGUCCCGAGCGUUGUUCGGAUUCACUGGGUGUAAAGGGCGCGUAGGUGGUUGUCUGUGUCUCAUGUGAAAACUCAGGGCUCAACUCUGAGAUUGCGUGGGAAACUAGGCAGCUAGAGGACGGUAGAGGGGAGUGGAAUUCCCGGUGUAGCGGUAAAAUGCGUAGAUAUCGGGAGGAACACCGGUGGCGAAGGCGGCUCUCUGGGCCGAUCCUGACGCUGAGGCGCGAAAGCUAGGGGAGCGAACC